CUCUCUCUCUCUUUAUUGAUGAAACAUCGCAGUAUACACUUGGUUCCAUGAACGCUCUUGUCUUUUGUUGUUUCCCCUCUCUACUGCAUGGUCAUUCAGGCCGAGGUCCAGCCACCUUAUUGGGCUAAAAGCCCAAUUGGGAAAAUCUCCUUCAAAUGUCUUCGGGUCCAAAAGGAAGAAAAGGAAGCUAAUAUAAUUGAAGGCCCAAUCAUGGGUAAGAAUAAUAUGAAGGCCCAGCCAUGGGUGAAAUGGGUUGGGGUUUGGUACACCCCACUUUAUUUUAUUCUAUUCCAUCGUAUUUCUGCUAUCAUUGGCUUGAUUGUAUUGUGCUUGCUAUUUGUAAACCCAUAAAUAUUAUUGGAACCUUUAUUAUGAAUUAGGCAUCUUAGGAAAA